ACGAACGCUGGCGGCGCGCCUAACACAUGCAAGUCGAACGAGAGAUGAGGAGCUUGCUCUUCAAAUCGAGUGGCGAACGGGUGAGUAACGCGUGAGGAACCUGCCUCAAAGAGGGGGACAACAGUUGGAAACGACUGCUAAUACCGCAUAAGCCCACGGCUCGGCAUCGAGCAGAGGGAAAAGGAGUGAUCCGCUUUGAGAUGGCCUCGCGUCCGAUUAGCUGGUUGGUGAGGUAACGGCCCACCAAGGCGACGAUCGGUAGCCGGACUGAGAGGUUGAACGGCCACAUUGGGACUGAGACACGGCCCAGACUCCUACGGGAGGCAGCAGUGGGGAAUAUUGCACAAUGGGGGAAACCCUGAUGCAGCGACGCCGCGUGGAGGAAGAAGGUCUUCGGAUUGUAAACUCCUGUUGUUGAGGAAGAUAAUGACGGUACUCAACAAGGAAGUGACGGCUAACUACGUGCCAGCAGCCGCGGUAAAACGUAGGUCACAAGCGUUGUCCGGAAUUACUGGGUGUAAAGGGAGCGCAGGCGGGAGGACAAGUUGGAAGUGAAAUCCAUGGGCUCAACCCAUGAACUGCUUUCAAAACGUUUUUUCUUGAGUAGUGCAGAGGUAGGCGGAAUUCCCGGUGUAGCGGUGGAAUGCGUAGAUAUCGGGAGGAACACCAGUGGCGAAGGCGGCCUACUGGGCACCAACUGACGCUGAGGCUCGAAAGUGUGGGUAGCAAACAGGAUUAGAUACCCUGGUAGUCCACGCAGUAAACGAUGGACACUAUCUGUUCGGGUCGAAUGGGAUCUGAGUGGCACAGCGAAAGCGUUAAGUGUCCCACCUGGGGAGUACGCCGGCAACGGUGAAACUCAAAGGAAUUGACGGGGGCCCGCACAAGCAGUGGAGUAUGUGGUUUAAUUCGACGCAACGCGAAGAACCUUACCAAGUCUUGACAUCCCUUGACGAACAUAGAAAUAUGUUUUCUCUUCGGAGCAAGGAGACAGGUGGUGCAUGGUUGUCGUCAGCUCGUGUCGUGAGAUGUUGGGUUAAGUCCCGCAACGAGCGCAACCCUUAUGGUCAGUUACUACGCAAGAGGACUCUGGCUAGACUGCCGUUGACAAAACGGAGGAAGGUGGGGAUGACGUCAAAUCAUCAUGCCCUUUAUGACUUGGGCUACACACGUACUACAAUGGCGUUAAACAAAGAGAAGCAAGACCGCGAGGUGGAGCAAAACUCAGAAACAACGUCCCAGUUCGGACUGCAGGCUGCAACUCGCCUGCACGAAGUCGGAAUUGCUAGUAAUCGUGGAUCAGCAUGCCACGGUGAAUACGUUCCCGGGCCUUGUACACACCGCCCGUCACACCAUGAGAGCCGGGGGGACCCGAAGUCGGUAGUCUAACCGCAAGGAGGACGCCGCCGAAGGUAAAACUGGUGAUUGGGGUG
rnacentral:rRNA from 1 species